rnacentral:rRNA from 1 species
GUCGUGAAGAGGGAAACAACCCAGACCGCCAGCUAAGGUCCCAAAGUCAUGGUUAAGUGGGAAACGAUGUGGGAAGGCCCAGACAGCCAGGAUGUUGGCUUAGAAGCAGCCAUCAUUUAAAGAAAGCGUAAUAGCUCACUGGUCGAGUCGGCCUGCGCGGAAGAUGUAACGGGGCUAAACCAUGCACCGAAGCUGCGGCAGCGACGCUUAUGCGUUGUUGGGUAGGGGAGCGUUCUGUAAGCCUGUGAAGGUGUGCUGUGAGGCAUGCUGGAGGUAUCAGAAGUGCGAAUGCUGACAUAAGUAACGAUAAAGCGGGUGAAAAGCCCGCUCGCCGGAAGACCAAGGGUUCCUGUCCAACGUUAAUCGGGGCAGGGUGAGUCGACCCCUAAGGCGAGGCCGAAAGGCGUAGUCGAUGGGAAACAGGUUAAUAUUCCUGUACUUGGUGUUACUGCGAAGGGGGGACGGAGAAGGCUAUGUUGGCCGGGCGACGGUUGUCCCGGUUUAAGCGUGUAGGCUGGUUUUCCAGGCAAAUCCGGAAAAUCAAGGCUGAGGCGUGAUGACGAGGCACUACGGUGCUGAAGCAACAAAUGCCCUGCUUCCAGGAAAAGCCUCUAAGCAUCAGGUAACAUCAAAUCGUACCCCAAACCGACACAGGUGGUCAGGUAGAGAAUACCAAGGCGCUUGAGAGAA